UCAGAAAGAUUCACUUCUAUGAAUAGCUUGUACAAACAUCCAGAUGCUAGAGCAAGUACUUGUACUCAAUGAUUCCUACAGUUCUAUACCUUGGUUUCUGAGGUUCAAUUACCUGGUUGGAGAGGGAACUUAUGUCGCUUCCACUGCCCGAAGCCAUGACAAAGAUU